GAUCAGUGAAGAACCUAUCCCAAACCCAAUUGAUUUCUUGAUAAAAAACACAUAUGAGUUGGACUUCUGAGUU
rnacentral:snoRNA from 1 species